CUGUGUGUCUGUGUGUGUUUACUCUUUCCAAAUGCAAAAAUGCCUGGGAGGAUUUUUACUUAAAGUAAUCUAAAAUACAGUAUGGUCAGCUUAUUAGAGUUGACCUCCUUUCUGAGAGAGAGAGACCACAGUUAAGAAAGAAAAAGACCUCCAUUAAAGGAGGGAGGAAAGGGGAUCAAAAUGCCAACUUCUUCAUUUUGUUUGGGGUCUGAACUAACUAGGUACCUUCAACAUAGCAGAAGCUGUGAGAUGUUUUCACAAGGCAGUUUAUGCAAGUAAUAUGACAACUACAAUGCUGAUGAUUGGUGAUGCAACUUUGAUAGCAUUAAAUGUUUACUAAGCAUGGAUUAUGUACCAGGAAAUACACUGAUUCAUUGCUCAUUUCAAUCUUACAACUCUCCAAAACAGAUUCUUAUGGCUGCAACUGAAAGAUCAGGAAACAGAGAUUUAGAAGCAAUAAAUACACCACAUACAUGAGAAGUCCUUGGCAAAACUAAAAAAUGACUUGGUGAUUUGCAUGAAUGAAACUAUACGCUCCACCUAAACGCCAAGACCUACCAGUCCCCUGAGCUGUGGAUCCUGCUCAGGGAGAAUGAACUGACUGGCUGAGGUGUUAAGAGAAAAUUUCAAAGACCCACAGUUAACAGGAGCUGGUUUUCCUUUGAGUCAGAACAUACCCCAAAUUGGGGGGAGGGUUUUUCCUCACAUGGGGAGGCCUCUGUUCUCCUAAAAAAUCCCAAACGACUCAUAAAGCCCUUGAUUCAAUCCAGAGCUCAAGAGAGUUUGCUCUGUGCCUUUGGCCCUCUUCCAAUAAGCUAUUUACUGGUUCUUCAGAUCUGACCUAAUUUGGAAACAGGCAGCUCGGUUCCCUGGAAUGGCUACCUCUGAGGUGGGCCUUCAGAAAGAGCUCCUUUUGCACCUCUCUCAAACAAUCACAAAGCAAGGUCUCUUACUCACAGACAUUCAGACAGCAUUUUACCAAGGAGAGUAAAAUGAAUAGUUGAAGCAAUGUCUGAAAACAGCUUAGGCAGAAAAUUCAGAUGGAUGACCUGGCGUUCUCAUUUUCCAAGUAACUGUCCAACUCUUGACUUUUUUAUGUCUUGACAAAAAAAAAAAAAAAAAAAUUGAAUCCAAGGGGAGAGUUUCCACCUUCGGAAAAAAUGUAAACAACACAGGGUGUUAUGUCUCGGAAAAGAAAUGUCAGUGCCCCAAUCGAGAAUCCUGACUAUUGGGGGCCUGAAUAAAGAGCAUCCUCAAUCCCAGCUGGCCAUAGUCAGAUGUAUUUUCUUUAGAUCUUUGAAGGAGAAUCUCAUUAUUAGAUGCAAGUGGCAAGCAGAAAAUCCCUACGUUUCUUUUAACCCU
rnacentral:lncRNA from 1 species